rnacentral:rRNA from 1 species
UACGUAGGGCGCAAGCGUUAUCCGGAAUUAUUGGGCGUAAAGAGCUCGUAGGCGGUGUGUCGCGUCGGCCGUGAAAACCUGGGGCUCAACUCUGGGCGUGCGGUCGAUACGGGCAUCACUUGAGUUCGGCAGGGGAGACUGGAAUUCCUGGUGUAGCGGUGAAAUGCGCAGAUAUCAGGAGGAACACCGGUGGCGAAGGCGGGUCUCUGGGCCGAUGACUGACGCUGAGGAGCGAAAGCAUGGGUAGCGAACAGG